GUGUCAGCAGCCGCGGUAAUACCAGCACCCCGAGUGGUCGGGACGAUUAUUGGGCCUAAAGCAUCCGUAGCUUGUUCUGCAAGUCCUCCGUUAAAUCCACCUGCUCAACAGAUGGGCUGCGGGGGAUACUACAGGGCUAGGAGGCGGGAGAGGCAAACGGUACUCAGUGGGUAGGGGUAAAAUCCUCUGAUCCACUGAAGACCACCAGUGGCGAAGGCGGUUUGCCAGAACGCGCUCGACGGUGAGGGAUGAAAGCUGGGGGAGCAAACCGGAUUAGAUACCCGGGUAGUCCCAGCUGUAAACGAUGCAGACUCGGUGAUGGGUUGGCUUUGAGCCAACCCAGUGCCGCAGGGAAGCCGUUAAGUCUGCCGCCUGGGGAGUACGGUCGCAAGACUGAA
rnacentral:rRNA from 1 species